rnacentral:rRNA from 1 species
UACGAAUGGGGCAAGCGUUGUUCGGAAUCACUGGGCUUAAAGCGUAUGCAGGUGGAUUUGCAAGUCAGAAGUGAAAUCCCAGGGCUUAACCCUGGAAUUGCUUUUGAAACUGCAGAUCUAGAAUCCCGGAGAGGUUAACGGAAUUCCGAGUGUAGAGGUGAAAUUCGCAGAUAUUCGGAGGAACACCAGUGGCGUAAGCGGUUAACUGGACGGGCAUUGACACUCAGAUACGAAAGCGUGGGUAGCAAAC